AAGAGUUAGGGUCCAUCAAGGGCCCGAUCUCCCAACCCUUUGUUUAUUACACCUUGUGUUGCUUCGGUAGGUCUGGUUAACUCCUACCGGAGGGCCGUCAAAACGUCCUCUGGAGAGCACCUACCGGUAGCCUAAACCACAUCACUCUUGAACCAAACGUGUCAUUGUCUAAGUAUACCUUGAAUAAAAGCA
rnacentral:misc_RNA from 1 species